UACGUAGGGGGCGAGCGUUGUCCGGAAUUAUUGGGCGUAAAGAGCGUGUAGGCGGUUCGGUAAGUCUGCCGUGAAAACCUGAGGCUCAACCUCGGGCGUGCGGUGGAUACUGCCGGGCUAGAGGACGGUAGAGGCGAGUGGAAUUCCCGGUGUAGCGGUGAAAUGCGCAGAUAUCAGGAAGAACACCCGUGGCGAAGGCGGCUCUCUGGGACGUGACUGACGCUGAGACGCGAAAGCGUGGGGAGCGAACAGG
rnacentral:rRNA from 1 species